rnacentral:rRNA from 1 species
CACGUAGUUAGCCGGGGCUUCUUACUCAGGUACUGUCAUCUUCUUCCCUGCUGAUAGAGCUUUACAUACCGAAAUACUUCUUCACUCACGCGGCGUCGCUGCAUCAGGGUUUCCCCCAUUGUGCAAUAUCCCCCCACUGCUGCCUCCCGUAGGAGUUUGGGCCGUGUCUCAGUCCCAAUGUGGCCGUCCGCCCUCUCAGGCCGGCUACUGAUCGUCGCUUUGGUAGGCCGUUACCCUGCCAACUGGCUAAUCAGACGCGGGUCCAUCGUAUACCACCGGAGUUUUUCACACCAUUCCAUGCGGAACUGUGCGCUUAUGCGGUUUUAGCACCUAUUUCUAAGUGUUAUCCCCCUGUAUACGGCAGGUUACCCACGCGUUACUCACCCGUCCGCCACUAAGUUAACAACAUCUCUGCUCCUAGCAAGCUAUUUGCUUCAAAAAUGUUAACUCCGUUCGACUUGCAUGUGUUAAGCACGCCGCCAGCGUUCAUCCUGAGCCAGGAUCUAAA